CAGUAGCCACGGUAAUACGGAGGGGGCUAGCGUUGUUCGGAAUUACUGGGCGUAAAGCGCACGUAGGCGGCUUGGUAAGUUAGAGGUGAAAGCCCGGAGCUCAACUCCGGAAUUGCCUUUAAGACUGCCGAGCUAGUAGGUGAGAGAGGUAAGUGGAAUUCCGAGUGUAGAGGUGAAAUUCGUAGAUAUUCGGAAGAACACCAGUGGCGAAGGCGGCUUACUGGCUCAUUCUAGACGCUGAGGUGCGAAAGCGUGGGGAGCAAACAGGAUUAGAUACCCCUGUAGUCCCUGUCUCUUAUAC
rnacentral:rRNA from 1 species